rnacentral:rRNA from 1 species
AAUGAACGCUGGCGGCAUGCCUAACACAUGCAAGUCGAGCGAAUUAAGGGGGCUUGCUCCCGGAUUCAGCGGCGGACGGGUGGGUAAUGCCCAGGAGUCUGCCUUAUCUUGGGGAAUAACGUCCGGAAACGGGCGCUAAUAUCGCAUCCGACCUGAUGUAGAAAGUGGGGGAUCUUCGGUCCUCACGCUAUCUGAUGAGCCUAGGUCGGAUUAGCUAGUUGGAGGGGUAAAGGCCUACCAAGGCGACGAACCGUAACUGGUCUGAGAGGAUGAUCAGACACACUGGAACUGAGACACGGUCCAGACUCCUACGGGAGGCAGCAGUGGGGAAUCUUGCGCAAUGGGCGAAAGCCUGAUCUAGCAACGCCGCGUGAGUGAUGAAGGUCUUCGGAUUGGAAAGCACUGUAAGUUGGGAGGAAGGAAAGUAAGUUUAACCCUGACUGUUUUGACGGUACCGACAGAAUAAGCACCGGCUAACUUCGUG